UAUCCGCACACCGAAGUUAAGCAUCGUAGAGCCAGGUCAGUACUUAGAUGGGGGACCGCUUGGGAACACCUGGUACUGUAAG
rnacentral:rRNA from 1 species